AUGGCCGCAGCUUCUUUGGAUCCUCCCGAUCCACUUGAUUACAUGUAUGUGAGAUUCCAUUACUUUGGCUAUUUUGUGAGGAAGGAUGGACAUGUUGAUUACCCAGGAGAGAUACAAGCAGAGAUGUUUAUUCCAAGAGACAUGCUAAGUUAUGCAGAAUUGUGUUUAUAUGCUGAAGAUUUGCAUCAAGUAGAAAGGGGUCACUGCAAAGGAAAUUAUACCUACAAGCUGCACUGGUUAGUUCCAGGGGAAAACCUGUCAAAUGGACUUCUUUUUCUGCAAGACAAUGAUUCAGUUGCACAAGUGGACAAUGCAAUUUCAUAUGGUGAUUUUGCUGACAUUUAUGUGGAGGAGUUGGAGCAUGUAGGUGAGUCUGAUCUGCACAUUAUGGAAGCAAUUCAAGAGCAUUUUGAGCAGGAGGACACAUGUCAGAGGGAGACUGCAUAUAGUUAUGAAGGUUUGGUCACAGUUGCUGUUGGUGAAACUUACUCCGGGCAUAGAGGGACAAGAAUGCCAUUGAUUGAUGUGCAGUUUGUAGGAACAGAUGUUGUUGAUGAGAUGAUAUUGACACAUAUGGCUAGUGCUGUAGAAGAAGAAGCAAAUGCAAAAUCCUCCCCUAAUGCAGUUACUAGUAGACCUGCCAAGUUGCCAGUCAGGAGAAGUUCUACAAGUCAAACAAGACAAAGAUGCAAUGGAGGCAGAAAAUGCGAAGAAAGCAAAGGCAGCAGUUGA
rnacentral:rRNA from 1 species